GAACACUUUUUACCGAUAUAGGGAGCUGUCAAAAUAAUGGGUAAUUUAUUUUUCCUAAUAAUGAGCAUUUUGUGCCCAUUUUCAUGUUGCCUGUUUUUACCCAUUAGUGGGUGAAAAACAAGUUAAAUUACAAAUAAACAAACGAUUUAGAAGCUCUUGGCGGAGGAAUGUCCACAAACGCCUUGUCACGUUCCCGAAACGAAAAGUCGAAGUAUCAGCCGUCGGGCUCGGGAUUAUUCUGGAGAUGCUGAUUUCCUUUGAUGUACACUCACCGCAGAAGAAGUCACGGAUUGGGGUGGACUACGUAGCCAGUAUGUCCCAAGGGAAACAAACAAAAGUUCGAUUGUUGCGGAAAACCAACUUGCGCAACAUAGCGCUAUUGAAAUGCUCCAUCCUCAGGUCAACAUUAUGCUGCAUUGAUCAUGCCCGUCGUCCACCAAAUGGAAUCGAAUCAGGCGGUCUUGCGCGGUGCUGAUUCCCUCCGUCGGCAGCUUCCGGUGAUUCAAAUUUAGGAGGAGGAAUUGUAAAAGCUCUCAAAUAACGCCGGAUUGUGCGCUGACCACUAUUGUCGGAAAAGCCAUCGAUUGCAGGAUUGAAUUCUGAGGCUGCUGCUGGAAGUACUUCCAUUCUGAUAGAUCCAGCAUAGUAAGUUUGGUGGAUUUAUCUACGACGAGAACUAAAUGCAAUCUGGUACGUGAUUCGGCAAAGCAGCAAAAAAGUCAGUCGACUCUGUAUUUUCACUAUUGAUAAAUUAUAAAUAAAGAACAACUAUUCCAUAA